CACCGGAAGGCAACCUAAUUAGUAUCCGACCAAUUAGCAGGUGUGUGGUACAGGACAGCUCCUAUAAAAAGCGCGGGCCCUCCCUGCAGCCUCACCUCUGUCGUUUCCGUGGUUGACCGGGACCUUGUGUGUUUCUUCCAACAAACAAAAAAAAAUCAAACAUGUGCGGGCUGUUUGUUGGCCUGUUUCGGUCCGGAAGGACUUUUGCCCCAAGGGCAGGUGUUUUGAUCCAACAAAGAGCAGGGUAUAUCCACGCCAAACCACCUAAACACAACGUCAGCGCGGCGGAGACCGCGUUCGUCAUGACCGUGAUGAGCAUGACGCUCCUCGGGCCUUCUGGUUGGAUACUGGCAAACCUGGAGCAUUAUAAAAGCCGGAGCUGAUGAGAGAAGAUGUGGGAGCGCCGUUUCCUCUCUCUAUUCAUGUCGCAAGGUGUUUGGGAGCGUUGGGAUCUUUAUGUUAACAAAAUAAAAUCGAGUUUCUUAAUUUGACUUUUCUCUCAUUAUUAUUAUUUUAUUUUUUUUACCUGGUGCAGUUCAGCCUUUGAACCAGUAGGUGUCAGAAGCUGCUGGCGGAAGCGAAACCGAUCGUGUUGCUUCUGAACCUCCUGCAUCGCCUCUGGCUACGAGCUACGUUUGUCGUAGCGAGAUUUUUUCUUUUGUUAUUAACGUAUCAUUUUCGAUUUUUUUUUUUUGCAUAAGCUAAUGUCUUUGAACGCACCAUGAAGCCGCAGCUGAGCGGGGCCACGAGACGCGCGUCUGCGACUCCGCACGCCGCGGAUGACGCUGCGCUGCUUUUGCAAGAGGAGCUUGUUGCGGCGAUAUACGGAGCGUUCGAAGUGGCCGUGCAGAUCGCAGUUGGAGAGGUGAAAAGGCUGCUGGGCCGGAACUCGGGAGACAUGUACGAGGGGAUGCGACGAGAGAACGAGUCCCUCAAGCAAAGGCUGCACAGGGCUGAAGCCAUGUUGGAGCCCGCGAGCGACGGAAGCCCUCCGCCCACAAAGCGACACCUCGACCCCCCGGAUCAAUACGGUCGAACAAGACCCACGCUUGACGCAGGUGGUGUGCAUGGUUGUGAGGGGGUCAGAGGUGACGCGCCCCCUGCCCGGCCCCCGCCCUCCGACCCCCAGGAUCGACACGUGAGCAGACAUGAAGAGCAGAGGUCGGGCGGUGAUGUGGCUUCAGAGCCACAGGAGGAAGAACGACAUGGUGGAUGCACCGAGAGAGUCACUGAAGAGAUUUCCCGUGAAUGUGUGGUGAAGGUAGAAACCGGUAAGCAGCCGUGUCAGGACUCGACGGCUCAAGACUGCAAUGUGGCUCCACUUCCCGGCAACGGCGCCAAGUCCACAUUGGAGCAGGUCACAGUAAAGCAGGAGAUGCCCGAAGAGGAGGAGAGCGAUGGUUCAGCUUGCUUUUUAGACUCUAUCAAAGUGGAGGAGUUUAGCCUGGAGUCUGUGUUGGAGUGGGAAACAGAUGUGCCGGAUACUCUGAGCCAAGAUCCAAACACCAGGCUGCCUCAGGCUCAUCCUACGAACAUGACUACAGGCCUUCCACCACCAACAGAUCUUCCGUCCCUCUCCUCCGAGUUUCCCAUCUUCCAGGUGGCAGAACCAGCUCCCAUCCCAGAACCCCGUCCGCAGAUUUAUGGAGUCCAUGUGCGGACCAGCCACACCAUCGGCAACAUUUACUCCUGCAAGUUCUGUGGUGAGACCUUCCACCUGCCCAGCUUGCUGCGGCGCCACCAUGGCCAGUGCCCACAGAGGCUCCAGCAGCACUUUCAGCAGCCUGGAGCAGGAAGCAAGAGAAACAGACUGCAGCUCUACCCUCCGGGCUGCAGCCCCUUCCGCUGCACGGAGUGCAACAGAGAAGUUCAACCGCAUGGAGAACCUCAAGACCCACCUUCGCAUACACACGGGAGAGAGACCGUACACCUGCUCGGUGUGCUUCAAGUGUUUCCGUCACUCUGGUGCAUUAACCAGACACUUCCGUAUCCACACGGGAGAGAAGCCGUACAUCUGUGGACAGUGUGGGAAGUCGUUCAGAAACUGCGGGGGGCUUAAAUUCCACCAGCGUUCACACAGCAAGCAGCUACAGUUAAGUGGGACUCAAGAGUUUUAAGGUCUACAGGACCAAAUGUCCUUUGUGAUAUAACACCACUUCUUUGUUUGGAGUGCUCAAAAUGUUUGAUUAUUUUUAUGCUUAAAAAUCCAUUUUCACCGAGUUUUACAGACUGCAAGUUCUGAAACUCCUUAAAAUUUUCCGGACAGACAUUAUAUAUCCCUUAUGUACAACUAAAGGGGCUUUAAAAUUAUGCUUUUUAAUGUUAUAACCAGAAAAACACAAUUUCUUGUAACAUUUUAGUGUUUUGAAUGAUAGAAACACACACCAAGUAUAAAAAAAUGAACAAAGUGAAAACAUCAUUCCCUAUCGUUGAUGGAUGCAUUAUCUACAUUUCAGUGCUCGAUCACACUGACUGACAGGUGACAAAUCCAUAACAGGGUAUCCUGUGCUGCUCUAGGUUAAGGGCUCUCACCCAGAAAGCAGAAUUGCAACUUUUUGGAACGAGUGCAUCGUACUGAUCCUGUCAAAUGAUCAUAAACUUUUUUGUCAAUGAAACAAUCUUGAUUUGCUUCAUUUCAGUGAUCUGUAAAUUUGUCCUCUCACUGGUAGAAAAGGAUGAAGUCAGCUAUUUAGCUACAUACUGUACAUGCAUGUGAUGGCUCAGUAUUUUCUGAAAUUAAGCUUUUAACAGGAUUGUAAAUGUAAAUGCCUUAUUUUAUGAUAAUAUUAAAGAAAAUCAACGAGCCAAUUUGUUUGGUAUUCAUGACUGACUUCAUUUUUCCUGAUUGUGUGCUAAAAAAAAAUUUAUUUUGACACUGGAAAAUAAUGUAAUUUGAGUAAUAAAUGUAUAGAUAUACUUUUGAAAGUGAACAAAGGAUGUAUGUUUUGUUGUACUGUACCAAUAUAUGUGAAAAUUUAGGUCUAUAGGCGGAAGUCUAAUUUUACUAUUUGAUUUAGUUAAAUAUGGAAAUUUAAGUACAUUUAUUAAAAUCAUAUACACUGGAAGAUGCUCCCAGAUUAGACGUAACCUCUGCAGAAUCCCAGUCCGCCUCAAGGAGUCAGUUCUGUCUUCUGUGUGUUCAGAGUCAGACAGACAGUUUAUUUUGAUUUGAUUGAUUUUUUUUUUUCCCCUCUGGGGAUAAGUGAUCUACAAUUUCAAACAAAUCUUGAAAAUUCACAUAACCAGUAGAGGGCAACAAAGACCAUAUCAAAUAUAAAUAACUCCAGUAUAUAAGUAAAAUAUAACAGUGCUCAUAUUAAACACGAAGGUUAAUGUUCAGGAAUAGGAUGUAUUUUGCACUUAUUACUAAUAAGAGACAAUACACUCAUUAGUAAUAAGUGACAAUAAUUGAUUCGUGGAAAAUACUGGGCCAAACAAGAAAUCACGUUACAGGAAAUCCAGCCGGCUUGAGCCUUGGUGCAGUUACAAGAGUAAGUCACAAACAGUGGUCUCUAAAAUCUGCACCAUCAACUACACAGUUAAUCUGUUGUCUGUGGGUGUUUUACCUGGCAUAUUUAAUUGCCCUGCUCCGGCAAUACAAAUUCUUUAUUAACAGUCUUUCUUCAUCUUGGUAUUACUUUCCAACUGUCUUCCCUCUCUCUAUCGUCAUUGCUCCCUGCCUACAUGCUCUGGUCUGAAGCAAAGCACUGCAUUGUAUACUGCAUAAUGGAAGGAAACUGCCAGUGAUUAGAUUAGUAUGAAUGUAUUAUUUCUGUUUGAAUGUCUCUCCCCCAGUCACAGCACUGGCUGCCCUGUGCCCAGUUCAAGUGACCCUUCAGUAGGACACUGACUCCUCCAGCUGAGCUGUUCUGUAACUGCCUCAUUGCUUUCAAUAGAGCAUUGCAGUUAUGCAUCAUAUGCAUUAUUGUAAAACUAUCAUAUCAAAGUCCCCCCUUUUGCUUUUGUCACUCACUUGGAUCUUUGAUCUUCCUGUGCAGUUUCACACGAGAAAGCUGUUUAUAACACUCAUUUGCUAUGCUCCCGUUGAAUCUGCUUGUCCGAACAGGACAAGUCAUCCUGGUCCAAUGGGCAACUUGAAAUGGAAACAUGAAACCUCUGAUGCACAUACAACAUCAACUUCCCAGUGGGGAAGAACAUAAUUAAUGUCAAAACAUUCUUUUUCAAACAAG
ensembl:lncRNA